rnacentral:rRNA from 1 species
AUUGAACGCUGGCGGCAGGCCUAACACAUGCAAGUCGAACGGUAGCACAGAGAGCUUGCUCUCGGGUGACGAGUGGCGGACGGGUGAGUAAUGUCUGGGAAACUGCCCGAUGGAGGGGGAUAACUACUGGAAACGGUAGCUAAUACCGCAUAAUGUCGCAAGACCACAGAGGGGGACCUUCGGGCCUCUUGCCAUCGGAUGUGCCCAGAUGGGAUUAGCUUGUUGGUGAGGUAAUGGCUCACCAAGGCGACGAUCCCUAGCUGGUCUGAGAGGAUGACCAGCCACACUGGAACUGAGACACGGUCCAGACUCCUACGGGAGGCAGCAGUGGGGAAUAUUGCACAAUGGGCGCAAGCCUGAUGCAGCCAUGCCGCGUGUGUGAAGAAGGCCUUCGGGUUGUAAAGCACUUUCAGCGGGGAGGAAGGCGAUACGGUUAAUAACCGUGUUGAUUGACGUUACCCGCAGAAGAAGCACCGGCUAACUCCGUG